UAUCUCUGGUUUCCCUUCAAAACGUAUAAAUCUUUCGCCUUUUACUAAAGAUUUCCGUGGAGGGGAACACUCAAUUGAGUCUAAACCAAUUUUUGAUGUCCUAUAUUAAUUGUAGGAC